rnacentral:rRNA from 1 species
CGACCGGCGCACGGGUGAGUAACACGUAUCCAACCUGCCGUCUACUCUUGGACAGCCUUCUGAAAGGAAGAUUAAUACAAGAUGGCAUCAUGAGUCCGCAUGUUCACAUGAUUAAAGGUAUUCCGGUAGACGAUGGGGAUGCGUUCCAUUAGGUUGUUGGCGGGGUAACGGCCCACCAAGCCUUCGAUGGAUAGGGGUUCUGAGAGGAAGGUCCCCCACAUUGGAACUGAGACACGGUCCAAACUCCUACGGGGAGGCAGCAUG